ACUUUGUUGUAGAAUUUUUGGUCUAAUUGAUUUUUUGGUCAAUCGGUCUUUUUGAUUUUCCAUGUAAUUGUCUUUAUAAAUGGGAAAAACUGGACAUAUGUCGUGUAAUUGUUGUUAAUUUCUCUGAUACCUCGGUAACAAAGGAAAAAUACGACUAAUUAUGCUCUGUUCAAAAUCGUUUUCUGUUAAAAAUAUUUUACGUAAAAAUAUAUACAAAAUUAUCUGUAUAGUAUCCUCCCUCCUAUUUCGACUUCCCUUCGAAAACAGUGGCACAUCUUUAGCAGUAUUAGACUUUUAUAUAUAAAUACCUACUAUUAGAAUUUGAUUUAAAUUUUCGAAUUUAAAGUCUUUUCUAUUUAUCUCUAAUACGUGUUAAUAAUAGGUUUUAGCAGCAAUGCUUGGAUAUAUUAUAUAUUGUACUAUUAUUAUAUUAAUCUACACACAUUACAAUCCAUUACAAUAUUUGUUGACCGAUAUUAACGACUUAUCGUCCCUCUGCAUUAUUACAUUAUUAAACAAAUAUACCAUAUAUACUAUAUAAACCUAACAUUAUACUAUUAUAUCUCUGAGUGACAUCUCACUCACAUUGACUAACACCGUCAUCGUUGUUAUUUCAUAUCCUUGUCCCCCUACAAUCCCUUGCUGUAUAAUAUAUACACAUAGAUGAGUACCUAGGUAUAAUUACAUUUUACUAUUGACACACGCACGAUUGGUUAUUCCAUCAACUCUCUAAGAGAGAUGGGGGAGUGGGGGUUAUUAAAAAAAUUAUUAUAUAUG